rnacentral:rRNA from 1 species
AGACUCAUCCAUCAGUCUUUCGAUAGAGAGUUUCUGUUGGUGCUAAUAUCGCCUCCGCAGAGAAUCGGUUCAAGCGACUGUUUACCAAAAACAUAGGUCUCUGCUAAGCCGUAAGGCGACGUAUAGGGGCUGAUGCCUGCCCAAUGCCGGAAUGUCACGAGGAGGGGUUAGGAGCAAUCCGAAGCCUCGAAUCCAAGCACCGGUCAAUGGCGGCCGUAACUAUAACGGUCCUAAGGUAGCGAAAUUCCUUGUCGGGUAAGUUCCGACCUGCACGAAUGACAUAACGACUUGAACGCUGUCUCAACGUGGGACUCGGCGAAAUUGUAUUACGAGUGAAGAUGCUCGUUUCUCAUAGCAAGACGGAAAGACCCUAUGGAGCUUUACUGUAGCUUGGCAUUGGAUCGUUGGAUUGGAUGCAGAGGAUAGGUAGGAGGCAUUGAUCCAUCCCUUUCGGGGGGUGGUGAGCCAACGGUGGAAUACUACCCUUCCAAUCUGACGCUUCUAACUCAUACCCUUAUCGGGUAGGGGAACAGUGACAGGUGGGCAGUUUGACUGGGGCGGUCGCCUCCUAAACGGUAACGGAGGCGUUCAAAGGUCCACUCAGGACGGUUGGCAAUCGUCCAUCGAGCGCAAUGGUAGAAGUGGGCUUGACUGCGAGACCGACAAGUCGAGCAGGCGCGAAAGCGGGACAUAGUGAUCCGACGGUGGAAAGUGGGAUCGCCGAAGCUCAACGGAUAAAAGCUACCCUGGGGAUAACAGGCUUAUCUCUCCCAAGAGUCCAUAUCGACGGGGAGGUUUGGCACCUCGAUGUCGGCUCGUCGCAUCCUGGGGCUGUAUUAGGUCCCAAGGGUUGGGCUGUUCGCCCAUUAAAGCGGCACGCGAGCUGGGUUCAGAACGUCGUGAGACAGUUCGGUCCCUAUCUGCUAUGAGCGUAAGAAAAUUGAGGGGAGCUGUCCUUAGUACGAGAGGACCGGGAUGGACAGACCGCUGGUUUACCGGUUAUGCCGCCAGGUGUAAACGCCGGGUAGCUAUGUCUGGAUCGGAUAAGCGCUGAAAGCAUCUAAGUGCGAAGCCGACCCCAAGAUUAAUUUUCUCACCCUUCGUGGGUUAAGACUCCUUGAAGAUAACAAGGUGGAUAGGUCGCAUGUGGAAGCGUGGUUAACACGUGCAGCUAAGCGACACUAAUCAGUCGAGGACUUGACUGC